ensembl:snRNA predicted gene, 25052
AUCGCUUCUAGGUCUUUUGGCUAAGAUCAAAUGUAGUAUCUGUUCUUAUCAGUUUAAUUUAUUAUUGGCUGUUUGCUUGAUGUAAAUUGUCUUUAUUAAGUUGAGGUACAUGCCUUGUAUCCUUGAUCUCUCCCAGACUUUUAGCGUGAAGGAGUGUU